rnacentral:ribozyme from 13 species
AAAAAAAAAAAAAAAAAAAAAAAAAAAAAAAAAAAAAGGUAACAGAACGCUUUCGCAUCUUCCUAUGUCAUCUUAUUC